UCCUAAAGAAACCUCAACGUGAGUGUCUCAUCUUUUCUAUAUCAUAGACCCGCGCAGUCAGCGCUGUCUGAAGAGCCUGGGCUCUGCAGAAAAUCCUGGCAUCCAUAGGACAGGGAAGCUGGUCGGAGUUGAUGGGAAGAAGGAUGGAGCUAAACCCUGGGCUAUCCGGAAGGGAAACCUUUUAGGGACUGUGGAAGAAAACUUGAGAUCCAGAUGUUGGACUCUCGCUGCAGAUGUGCUUCCAUGCAGGCCAAGAAAUCCUAACUAGAGUUGUUGUGCGCACACGUGAAACCGAGCUUGGACAAUUGACAUGAACUCAUAACUUGGAAAAAGAGAGGCACAUUCACCGACCUACGGCUGCAUCUGGGAGAAGAAAUCACCCGACUGUGCCUCUAACUGGCAGGAGAGGAAAAAAAAGAAUGACCAGACAUUUGCCGUACGAGUCUGCUUUCGUCUUGAAAGCGAAUAAACGCAGCCGAUAUAAAUGCUGUAAAUUUCCUGCUGAAAACAAAAAAAGCCUUUGAUGACCUAUUCGUGAUGCUGCUGUGAGUGGAGUGACCCGACUGUACUCAUUAAAACCAAUGGGACGGAUCAUUCUCCACUAAUUGUUUUCCGCUGACAAAUGGUUCCUCCGACUCUCAAAGACUGCUGCAGGGGCCGCCGUGCAGCUCCAACACGCCAACUUUACUAAUGAGAACUGCCGAUAAUCUCUGUGAUUCACACCUGUUCCAUGCUCCACUGGGCAAUUGUGAAUCCUAUUAGGGGACGCCCCUCUGCACCCUCACACCCCCUCCCCGUCCACACUACCUGGCACUAAUCCAUCAGAGGGGCAGUCAGGCUGUGCGUCGCCCCACAACCACCCAUCCCUGAUACCCGCCAGUGCCCAGUGCUUCAGCAGAGGCCCCAGCUGGGGGACCGCCACAGCUUGGUCAUUAUCAGAUGACGGAUAGCUUCAUAUCAGAUUCAUGAGAAUUUUUCUCUCUAAAUCACUCGGGAGAAUCUCAGAAAACCGAUGUCACCUUGGAUGAGACUCUCAAGAAAGAAUCUGCUCCGUGGUGCGCCCUCAGUUUUUUUUUUUUUUUUUCUUGAUAAUGAGUUUUCUGAUAAAUUCAAUGUCCUGAGGAAUUUACCCAUCCAAGAAUGCUCUCAAGUAAAGGUCUUCAAUUCCACACAUGCAGUACUCCAGUUAUUGUUGUUGUUGUAGGGAACACAAUGCCUUAUUCACUGCUAAAUUCAUUUUAUCUGUAUUUUAUGCGCAACAUUUUUCGAAAAGCAUUUUUUGUGCCAAGAUUACUUCCAACUUUGCGAAGUUAAACAGUUGUUUCUUUAAUCGCACAGCUCAAACGAUCAAAGUGUAUUCUUACAAUUUUAUACUGAAAAGAUUCACCAUUGAUGUAAGGCAAAAUGUUCAUCUAUUUACUCUAAAGCUGAUAAUUAUGAUCAUUCAACUUUGUUGAUGUGUGGUUCAAGACGGAGAAUGACGGUCAACAAAAAUAAGCUGGCACAAAAAUAAAUGAGUGAAUACGUCACUGGUGAGCUGUUGUCUCUUAACUGGGAGACAAUGUGUUUUAUUAUUGUGAGAAGCAAUGGUUAUUUAAUAAAGUUAAAGCAUUUUUGUCAAAUUAUGCUUCCGCAAUUGUUACGUUGUCUUAACACUCCAUUGUAUUUUAGUGCAAUUUAAAUGUUUUCAAAAAUAAACUUCCCAUAAAAAAAUA